rnacentral:lncRNA from 1 species
GGGUUUAGCAGUUUAUCAGGAUUUAUAAGUGUCAUUUUAAAAACAGUCGAUUUAAGCCAUGUAGAAAUACAUAUGAAAAAGUCUGCAAAACAAAACAUACUUUAAACAUGUUUAAGUAGAUAGAUUAUCUGAAAUUCUGGAUUUUUCAGUCACUUCAUUGUUAUGCAGCCAACCAAGUAAUCUUAACUUCAGUUGGAGUAAGCCCCCUAAAUCCAGCUUCGUUGAAGAUUCCAACUUCUAUGUUAUCCUCUCAUUUGGCCUUCAAAGCUUUCCUUUAGGGUUAACAUGGCUGUAUGAAUGGCAUCUUCAAGUUCCAGAUCUUCAUUUUAUCUUUUCUCAAGGGAAGUUUCCCCAUUCACAUAGUUCUUUCCCACUGCUGUGGCUUUCCAGGCCAAGUAAGCUCCAGAUGGAUCUGACUGAAAUAAAUAUGGUUGUCCCUCAUUCCAACCACAAACAAGUAAAGAAACUCCAAAUGGACAAACACCACCUGACUGAGUAUAUUCUUGCAUUACAGAAGCUACUCUCCGCACUAGCUGAGCUGUGGGAAUGGGCACUUGGUACACAAGAUAGUAUUGUUGAGCUAGUUUCGAGCUGUGUGCACAAGCACUUUGUUAUCUGGGCCCACGCCACUGUACACCAAACCUAUGUGCUUGGUAAUUGGUUCCACUUUGUCUACACUUCGCUCAUCAUACAGAAUGAAUUUCUGUUUUUUCUCGGUUGCUAAUACCACACCAUUUGCCGCUUUAAUUCCCACUGACAGGGCUCCUCCAGCUACAGCAGCCAAAGCAUAUUCAAUCCGGACAAGUUUAUCAGACGGGCUGAAUGUAGUCAGCGAAAAGCCGUACCGCGCUCCGC